AGCGAACGCUGGCGGCAGGCCUAACACAUGCAAGUCGAACGGAUCCUUCGGGAUUAGUGGCGGACGGGUGAGUAACACGUGGGAACGUGCCCUUUGGUUCGGAACAACUCAGGGAAACUUGAGCUAAUACCGGAUGUGCCCUUCGGGGGAAAGAUUUAUCGCCAUUGGAGCGGCCCGCGUCUGAUUAGCUAGUUGGUGGGGUAAAGGCCCACCAAGGCGACGAUCAGUAGCUGGUCUGAGAGGAUGAUCAGCCACAUUGGGACUGAGACACGGCCCAAACUCCUACGGGAGGCAGCAGUGGGGAAUCUUGCGCAAUGGGCGAAAGCCUGACGCAGCCAUGCCGCGUGAAUGAUGAAGGUCUUAGGAUUGUAAAAUUCUUUCACCGGGGACGAUAAUGACGGUACCCGGAGAAGAAGCCCCGGCUAACUUCGUGCCAGCAGCCGCGGUAAUACGAAGGGGGCUAGCGUUGCUCGGAAUUACUGGGCGUAAAGGGAGCGUAGGCGGACUGUUAAGUUAGAGGUGAAAGCCCAGGGCUCAACCUUGGAAUUGCCUUUGAUACUGGCAGUCUUGAGUACGGAAGAGGUAUGUGGAACUCCGAGUGUAGAGGUGACAUUCGUAGAUAUUCGGAAGAACACCAGUGGCGAAGGCGACAUACUGGUCCGUUACUGACGCUGAGG
rnacentral:rRNA from 1 species